rnacentral:rRNA from 1 species
GAUCAUGGCUCAGGAUGAACGCUAGCUACAGGCUUAACACACGCAAGUCGAGGGGCAGCAUGGUCUUAGCUUGCUAAGACCGAUGGCGACCGGCGCACGGGUGAGUAACGCGUAUCCAACCUGCCUUACACUCUUGGACAGCCUUCUGAAAGGGAGAUUAAUACAAGAUGUUAUCAUGAGUAAGCAUUUUCGCAUGAUUAAAGGUUUACCGGUGUAAGAUGGGGAUGCGUU